GUCCAGACUCCUACGGGAGGCAGCAGUGGGGAAUAUUGCACAAUGGGGGAAACCCUGAUGCAGCGACGCCGCGUGAGUGAAGAAGUAUUUCGGUAUGUAAAGCUCUCUCAGCAGGGAAGAAAAUGACGGUACCUGACUAAGAAGCCCCGGCUAACUACGUGCCAGCAGCCGCGGUAAUACGUAGGGGGCAAGCGUUAUCCGGAUUUACUGGGUGUAAAGGGAGCGUAGACGGCAUGGCAAGUCAGAUGUGAAAGCCCGGGGCUCAACCCCGGGACUGCAUUUGAAACUGUCAGGCUGGAGUGCAGGAGAGGUAAGUGGAAUUCCUAGUGUAGCGGUGAAAUGCGUAGAUAUUAGGAGGGACACCAGUGGCGAAGGCGGCUUACUGGACUGUAACUGACGUUGAGGCUCGAAAGCGUGGGGAGCAAACAGGAUUAGAUACCCCAGUA
rnacentral:rRNA from 1 species